AAUGAAACUAGUCGAAAUAGAACAGAGGCACACCAAAACAAAUUAUUAACCAGAACAAGCGACAAUGAAAGUUGGGGUACUGUUGAAGAUCGAUCUAGGAGAAAUUUUUAUCAAAUUGAAACAUUAAAGAUUGUCUAAAGUAGUUUAAUUGCCAGGGAAGCAAAAUGGGUGAUAAGAAAAAGUCAAAGCCAUUGGACAUACCAAUUGUAAGGAACCAUCGAAAUCCAAGCCCUGUCAAUGAAGAAAAAGCACAUCAGACAACAUCAUCAAUGGAUUUGUCUGUGUUGUCUAGAAAAAUGGAUGAACUAAGUAUUGAAGAGCCGCUUAGACGAAGAUCACGUUCAGCACCAUUGACAUUAGAAGCCAGUAGUGUUGCAAGCAAGCUAAGACAACUUAGUGACUCAUUUCAUACCACAUAUGAAAAACGAAAUAAGAGAAGAAGGGCCACUGUAGGUGUGGGUCAGUUAAAAGACAAGAGACGCAGUUGGCCUGUAUGGAACCCACAGAUAGAGGAAGAAAAAGAAGAUGGGGAAGUUUUUCAUUACAGCUCUAGUCUACCUUCAUCAGCAGGUACAUCUGUCUGAUUGUAAUUGACUUGAAUCUUCAAAGCUACCAAUGUACAUUUUAAAUUUGGGAUAACUGUCUUUCAAGGAAUGUGAUGACAAGUCUCUGCUUUUCAAUCAUGAGCUUUUUAAAAAUAGUUUUCAAGGAAAAUUGAAAGUCUAAAGAAAACUUUUAGAUCAGCAGCUAUUUUUUAAAAUUAUUGGAUUUUAUUUGCUUUUUCACUUAAAUGGUUCUAAAUUGAAACAGAACAGGUGCAUUAAAGUUGGUUUUAUAAACCAAAUGCUAGUAUGGUCACCCAAUUGAUAACGUUACCAUUUGAUUCAGAUAUUUAUGUUUCCUGAGUGCAAAAAAGGCUAAAUUGACUCAAGCGAAACAUUAAAAAAAAUCUUUUUUUGAAAGUAAACUUAAAUUAGUAAAUUAAUGGUUCAAAAUAUGAUUUUGAGAUUCAGUUUUUUCAUCAUCCCUAGCUCUAACCAAAGUAACAAUAUUUUGUGUAUUGUAGAUCUUUUUGCUUAUCCGAUAAAUGUAUUUUGCUAGUUGUGGAUUUUUCUGGAAAAUUUGCUUAAAGUUGUUAAUUUUCGAAUGCUUUUCUUCUUAACAGUAUUUGUAUUGAAAAUUCCAGUAGUUAGAUUCCUAUUUUUCAAGUUCAAUUUUUAACUGUAUAUUCGAUUAAACGCAUUUCCUACAUUUUCAUUGAUAUUCAUUUUACAAUGUGUUGAAUACAAGUUUCUUUGUCGUUCUGUUUCACUUUGCGUGACAUGAUCUAAGCCUAAUCUUUACUAAGAGGAGAUUUCUAAAACCGUAAUAUGGUUGAUCUGUAACUUAUUCAGAUGUGAUGUUUCUCAGAAAAUGAGGUUAAGAUUUCUACACUGAAUCAGUUUGCGAAUAGAAUAAUAUAAAACAAAGAACUUUUGUAUCUUGCAUUAGUUUAAUGCAAACUUGCUUGAUCAAAAGUGUCUUGUGUUUUAUUUGUUUUUAUACGUCAUUCUUGGCAUGCGUUCAGUUAAUGGACAAUUGCUUAAUUCCAUUCAUUUAGUUUGAAAGCACAGGGAAUAAACUUUCCUUGAAGCGUUAACAUUGCAAUAUCAACCACCCAACCAAACAAAUAUAAAUUUUCAGGCUAUUCAUGUACAACAAUCAAAGAGAACCACGGAGAAGUACUGAAACCGGGACACUUUUUAGACAACAGUUGCUCUGACAAAAUAUUCAAUGAAGGUGCUAUCGUUGAAUCAAUAUAAAAAACAGGUUUAAAACUUUCUGUCGAUAGAAACUAUGAACCUUUGAAAUUAUGUACUCCUCUAGGUGAAGUUGAUGUCAACUGGUUUCCUGGAAAUCAACCUGAAAUACUGGAGCGGUGCUGUUCUUGUUAGUUUCUUCUUCUGUGUGCCAGACUUUCGCUGUAGCUUAUGAGAUCUCAUUUAUUAUAUUGGCUAAUAAGCGUUUGAAACAGGUGUUCCGUUUGAAAUUGUGAAAUAUUCUACAGACGUACGAUGCUAGAGAUAUAAGUAUAUGCCACAUUCGAACAUUGCAACACCGCUUUGAGCUAAACCGCCUUAAUGUUGAUAUUAUGAAUUGUCCGUGCAUCGGUCUUCUUUCUUCUCGUCCGAAGAAAGGUCUUCUUUCUUUUUUCUUUCAUUAUUCUUUCUUCUUUCUUUCUUCUUACUAUUUGUCCUUUAUUUUCCAAUUCUCUUCUAUUUCUGUUAUAAUACGAUAACCCACAUAUUUUGCUACCUUCUUAGGAAAAGGAACAUUCUAGCUUCCAAUAAAGUUCCAAAAUUUAUAAACUUUAAAGAUGGACAAAGUUGAAAUAAGAGCAACAUAAAACCAGCUAGACGAAAUACUACCUAGAUGAAAUACGACCAAGAUGAAAUAUCAGGAAGGUAAAUAAACACCAAGAGCAAAAGGACAUCAUCUUUUUCAAAACCCUUACGUACCACCGUGUAUCCACUUUUGGGGGGGCACCCCUUCUACCCAAAGCGACGGACCUGCAAAUGCCGUGACACAUGACAAUUUCUUAGUUUUUGAAAAUGGUGAGAAUUUACUCGUCUUUUUCCAAUUAGAAUCGACUACUGAAUUUCUCCAAGUCCCUCAUUCAUUCGGGUAGUCUCUUUCGCAACCAAACAUGUAUCAUUUUCUUUGCAUUCAACCUUUCUCUUUGUCUGCAACAGCUCAGGUCAUUUCUCCAUUCAUACCAUUUUUUUCUCGUCUGUACUUUCUCUCCUUUUAUCCCAUCGGUAAACAGUUCAACUUUCCUUUUAGCUUUUCUUUAAUCUUUGUAUUAGUGCUGUCGCCCUUCGUAUAGUUACAGAAAUUUCUUUUUUCACAACAUUUGCUAGAGGUUAUCUGCAAUUCAACUAAUCCUAAAAAGAAAGGAGAAAAACAAAGGCCCACUAUCUAUUCUGCAAUCCUGAAAUUCGUUUUAAGAAAUAGGAUAGAGGUAACUGAUCAACUAACGGACAAAUACGCUUGUGGGAAUUCAUGAUUGGAUGAAUCUAACUGAACUGAAGCCACUAUAAGUUAAACUUUCUGAUCUCUCCGAGCUCAACCCCGCUCAACCAAAAGCUAGUUGAAGCCUCUUUGUCAAAAUUCUGAAAUCCUAUUGGAAUACAUGUGUUGUUUUCAAAUUGUUUAAUGUUGAAUAGGACUUAGGAGGUUCUGAUGCUCUUCAAACAUAAUUUGAUUUGUUUGUUCAUUGGCGACUUGACAUUUCAAAGCAGUCUUUGGUAGUUAAAACAAAAAGCGACUUAAAUGACAUUACCAUUUAAUCAGUGUACGAGUAGGGGAAUUCUAUCAUCAAGUAAAACGUUCGUCUUGCCAAUCGACAUCAAACCUACGACCAUCACAAACUUCAGAGCAGUCGCUGGAAAACAAUGUUGUGAUUAUCAGAUAAAUUGAGAUCAUGGGUAAUUGGCUAUGCACACUCUUGGCCCUGCUCUUCGUAUCCCAGUUCUAUGGGACCGGGACAGAGAUAUUUGCCCUGCGGAUACCUCCAGAGAGUCUGCAGACAAAUGGCAAUGGGACAACACUAAUGCCUGGCAACGAGUGGAGGAAGGACAGGAUGAGCUGCAAAGCAAAGCAGUUCUUAAUGGAAGUCGGAGAUUCGACAUGUGACUCGAAAAAAGUUGUGAACCAUUACUGUAUUGGUUAUUGUAACUCAUUAUAUAUUCCACAAUAUCCACAGAGCAACGUCAGAUUCUGUAAGGCAUGCUUGCCUGCCGAGAAAGUUAAGAAGGUGAUUGCUGUCAACUGCAUACGCGAUGGAAAGAAGGUUGUCGUUUUAGAAGAGGUCAGUUACAUAAAAAACUGCCAAUGCGUCGAUGUGGAAUGCUAGCUGCGUUCAGCACUUUCGUAUGGUAUUGCUUACAUACCAAUAGGACAACCACCAAACUCAACACUUCAGCAGCUUGGAUUCCUGAACUUCUGAACUCGAAGAGUGGUCUCAAUAGUCUAAAAGCCUGCGGAAUACCAUAGUCUUAAUGAUGAAUGACCGUAUGUAUCUAGUAUAUAAAUCAUAGGAAGCAGAGGCUUGACGUAAACUUAAUAUGUAAAUUUCAGAUGCCAUAGUUGACGAACAAUAUUUGUAUUGCAAUAUCUUUGACACCAUAUCUUGGAUAAUACAUCGUUAGAAAUUUAUCUACUGUGGGCUUUUGGAUAGCAAAUGACCUGAGAUAAAGCUAGUGCUUUUCCAAUUGUGCAUCCAUCUGACAUUUAAAGUUUCUAUGAGGAGCCCAAAGGAUGCUCUGGAAAUCGCACGUUUUUCAUCAUUUAAAGUAACGGUUCUGUAAUCUUUCUUUGCCAAAUAGGAUGGAACACAAUGAGAUGAAUCUAAAGCAGUAUCUUACUUUUUCGUCUUAUAGCUUUGAUCGUUGAUGCCUGUAUGUAUAAUAACAGUAUCUUAUAGAAACACGAAGAGGAUUAUUGCUAACCACCGUUUAAGAGAAAGUCGUGUAGUUGUUUAGAUACCGACAAGAGAUCCUUUUUCUUCUUUGCUUUAUUCAUCAUUGAAAACGAAUCCACCAUUUGCCUCUUUCUCUGUCGGAUGCUCUACUUUGAGCCCAGAAGCAAAUUAUUGCUGAUAUUCUGUUAUACAAUACUCUCACUACAGCAAGGCUAUGUAAAAAGACAGCGCGUAGUUAAUUUUCAUGAGCGAUCAUGACCCCACAAAAAAUCAUUCUAGAUGUGCUUUUAUGUUUUUUAACGUGAAUUUAUUGUUUGUGUCGUGGUCAAAAAGCAAAAUGUCUUUAGGACCGACUCUUUAUGUUCUUGGUUCAUUUCCUUAGCGCUCUUUGGGUUCGUGAGAAGGGUUAUAAUAGUCCCUGAUCUUAAAACGAAACAAAACUUACUUUCUAAGGUUUGUAUUUGCAUUGCGGUUCUAGUUAGAAUUGAUGGGACCAAAUUUCAGUUAUAUUUUUAGACUUGGCGCUAGUCUUCUAAACCUUGUUUGCCAAAAUCAGUAAAUAUUGCACAGAAAAAACCAAUACAGUCCCCAUGUAACUGCCACUACUUAAGGAAGAUAAACUUAAAAAGCGAGAUACACCGUAAAAAGCUUGUCUCAGGAACUCUCUAGUCUGGGCCAAAUAACCCAGGCACGCUGGAGCCGUGGGGCUAAGGGGUCUGUAGGUUUCCCCUAUACCUUUUUACUGAAGCAUGAUAUUAGGGUUGUGGCAUCAAAGAUAACGGUGAAAAACUAACACUAAAUUUUGCCAACUUAUCUAUUACCCCCUCUCCAAAUGUGUUCUGGCAUUCCUGUAGCCUGAAAAAGCAUCCUGGAAUACAUCUAACUGUACAAAAUCAGCUUAAAGUGUUACAAAUUGGCUGAGACCUCGCCCAGGAAAAACGUCAUCAAACCAAUACGUACCCAGGAUAUCUCGGCAACUGUUUGGGGUGAUUGUGCUUUGAUUUGCCUUUAUCAUUAAAAGAGCUUUCUU